ACGAGUCGGACAGGCACCGAGGCUCUUGCUGGAAGGAUCGCCGCGAUGGCCGCCCAGGGAGAGCCGCAGGUCCAGUUCAAGCUCGUCCUGGUGGGGGACGACGGCACCGGGAAGACGACGUUCGUGAAGCGCCACUUGACGGGCGAGUUCGAGAAGAAGUAUAUGUAGCCACCCUGGGCGUGGAGGUGCACCCGCUCAUCUUCCAUACCAACAGAGGGCCCAUCAAGUUCAACGUGUGGGACACGGCCGGCCAGAGAAGUUCGGAGGCCUGCGCGAUGGCUACUACAUCCAAGCCCAGUGUGCCAUUAUAAUGUUUGAUGUAACAUCAAGAGUCACUUACAAGAAUGUAUCUAACUGGCAUAGAGAUCUGGUGCGUGUGUGUGAAAACAUCCCCAUUGUAUUGUGUGGCAAUAAAGUGGAUAUUAAGGUCAGAAAAGUGAAGGCAAAAUCUAUUGUCUUCCACCGAAGGAAGAACCUUCAGUACUAUGAUAUUUCCGCCAAAAGUAACUACAACUUUGAAAAGCCUUUCCUCUGGCUUGCCAGAAAGCUCAUUGGAGACCCUAAUUUGGAGUUUGUUGCCAUGCCUGCUCUUGCCCCUCCUGAGGUGGUCAUGGACCCAGCUUUGGCAGCACAGUAUGAGCAUGAUUUAGAGGUUGCUCAAACGACUGCCCUCCCAGACGAGGAUGAUGACCUGUGAGAACGUGAAGCUGGAGCCCUGAGUCAGAAGUCUAGUUUUAUAGGCAACUGUCCUGUGACGUCAGCAGUGCAGCGUGUGUGCCAUCUUAUUUAGCUAAGCAGAUCGUGUACUUCAUUGGGAUGCUGAAGGAGAUGAAUGGGCUUCGAGUGAAUGUGGCAGUUAAAACUUACCUUCAUUUUUUUUGGACUUGCAUAUUUAGCUGUUUGGAAC